CGAACGCUGGCGGCGUGCUUAACACAUGCAUGUCGAACGCGAAAGGGACUUCGGUCCUGAGUAAAGUGGCGCACGGGUGAGUAACGCGUAGAUAACCUGUCUUCAUGUCUGGAAUAAUACGCCGAAAGGGGUACUAAUACCGGAUAUUCUUGCUUUUCAUAAGUUAUGCAAGCAAAGGUGGCCUCUGCAUAUGCUACUGCAUGAAGAGGGGUCUGCGUACCAUUAGCUAGUAGGUGGGGUAAUGGCCUACCUAGGCGACGAUGGUUAGCGGGUCUGAGAGGAUGAUCCGCCACACUGGCACUGGAACACGGGCCAGACUCCUACGGGAGGCAGCAGUGAGGAAUAUUGCGCAAUGGGGGAAACCCUGACGCAGCGACGCCGCGUGAGUGAGGAAGGCCUUCGGGUCGUAAAGCUCUGUCAAGAGGAAAGAAGUGUACAAUGGCUAAUACCUGUUGUAUUUGACGGUACCUCUAAAGGAAGCACCGGCUAACUCCGUGCCAGCCGCCGC
rnacentral:rRNA from 1 species